rnacentral:rRNA from 1 species
UCUACGGGAGGCAGCAGUGGGGAAUAUUGCACAAUGGGGGAAACCCUGAUGCAGCGACGCCGCGUGAAGGAAGAAGUAUUUCGGUAUGUAAACUUCUAUCAGCAGGGAAGAAAAUGACGGUACCUGACUAAGAAGCCCCGGCUAACUACGUGCCAGCAGCCGCGGUAAUACGUAGGGGGCAAGCGUUAUCCGGAUUUACUGGGUGUAAAGGGAGCGUAGGCGGCGAUGCAAGUCAGAAGUGAAAGCCCGGGGCUCAACUCCGGGACUGCUUUUGAAACUGUGUUGCUAGAUUGCAGGAGAGGUAAGUGGAAUUCCUGGUGUAGGAGUGAAAUCCGUAGAUAUCUGGAGGAACAUCAGUGGCGAAGGCGACUAUCUGGCACAUAACUGACGCUGAGGAGCGAAAGCGUGGGUAGCAAACAGGAUUAGAUACCCUUGUAGUC